GGAAUAUUGGGCAAUGGGAGAAAUCCUGACCCAGCGACGCCGCGUGAACGAAGAAGGCCUUCGGGUCGUAAAGUUCUUUUAUGCGGGAAGAAACAAAUGACGGUACCGCAUGAAUAAGCCCCGGCUAACUACGUGCCAGCAGCCGCGGUAAUACGUAGGGGGCGAGCGUUGUCCGGAAUUACUGGGCGUAAAGGGCGCGCAGGCUGUUCUGCAAGUCAGCUGUUAAAUGGUACGGCUUAACUGUAUUAUGCAGUUGAAACUACAGGACUGGAGUAAUGGAGAGGCAAGCGGAAUUCCCAGUGUAGCGGUGAAAUGCGUAGAUAUUGGGAAGAACAUCGGUGGCGAAGGCGGCUUGCUGGCCAUAAACUGACGCUGAGGCGCGAAAGCCAGGGUAGCAAACG
rnacentral:rRNA from 1 species